GAUGAACGCUGACAGCAUGCUUAACACAUGCAAGUCAACUGUGGCGGACGGGUGAGUAACGCGUAAAGAACUUGCCUCACAGUUAGGAACAACAUUUGGAAACGAAUGCUAAUACCUGAUCCUGUGGGAGCGCUUUGCGUCCCAUUAGCUAGUUGGAGAGGUAACGGCUCACCAAGGCGAGGAUGGGUAGCCGGCCUGGGACGGUGAUCGGCCACAAGGGGACUGAGACGCAGCCCGUGCGCAUACGUGAGGAAGCGGUGGGAAAUAUUGGACAAGGGGCCAAAGUCUGAUCCAGCAAUUCUGGGUGCACGAUGAAGUUUUCGGAAUGAAAAGAGCUUUCAGAUGAGAAGCGGUACCAACAGAAGAAGCGACGGCUAAAUCCGUGCCAGCAGCCGCGGUAAUUC
rnacentral:rRNA from 1 species